CAGUAGCCACGGUAAUACGGAGGGUGCAAGCGUUAUCCGGAUUUAUUGGGUUUAAAGGGUCCGUAGGCGGACUUAUAAGUCAGUGGUGAAAGCCUGUCGCUUAACGAUAGAACUGCCAUUGAUACUGUAAGUCUUGAGUAUAUUUGAGGUAGCUGGAAUAAGUAGUGUAGCGGUGAAAUGCAUAGAUAUUACUUAGAACACCAAUUGCGAAGGCAGGUUACCAAGAUAUAACUGACGCUGAGGGACGAAAGCGUGGGUAGCGAACAGGAUUAGAGACCCCAGUAGUCCCUGUCUCUUAUAC
rnacentral:rRNA from 1 species